rnacentral:rRNA from 1 species
GUCUACAGCCAUGGCACCCUGAAUGCGCCUGAUCUUGUCUGAUCUCAGAAGCUAAGCAGGGUCGGGCCUGGUUAAUACUUGGAUGGGAGACCACCUAGAAAGACCAGGUGCUGUAGGUG